rnacentral:rRNA from 1 species
CGCCUAACACAUGCAAGUCGAACGAAGUAGCAAUACUUAGUGGCAGACGGGUGAGUAACAUGUGGGUAUCUACCCUUUGGCCUGGAAUAACACGAGGAAACUUGUGCUAAUACCAGAUAAGUCUUUACGGAGAAAGCUUUAUGCACCAUUGGAUGAGCCUGCACUUGAUUAGUUUGUUGGUGGGGUAAUGGCCUACCAAGACUGUGAUCAAUAGCUGAUUUGAGAGGAUGAUCAGCCACAUUGGGACUGAGACACGGCCCAAACUCCUACGGGAGGCAGCAGUGGGGAAUCUUGCACAAUGGAGGAAACUCUGAUGCAGCGAUGCCGCGUGAGUGAAGAAGGCCCUUGGGUUGUAAAGCUCUUUCGUCGGGGAAGAAAAUGACUGUACCCGAAUAAGAAGGUCCGGCUAACUUCGUGCCAGCAGCCGCGGUAAUACGAAGGGACCUAGCGUAGUUCGGAAUUACUGGGCUUAAAGAGUUCGUAGGUGGUUGAAAAAGUUAGUGGUGAAAUCCCAGAGCUUAACUCUGGAACUGCCAUUAAAACUUUUCAGCUAGAGUAUGAUAGAGGGAAGCAGAAUUUCUAGUGUAGAGGUGAAAUUCGUAGAUAUUAGAAAGAAUACCAAUUGCGAAGGCAGCUUUCUGGAUCAUUACUGACACUGAGGAACGAAAGCAUGGGUAGCGAAGAGGAUUAGAUACCCUCGUAGUCCAUGCCGUAAACGAUGUGUGUUAGACGUUGGAAAUUUAUUUUCAGUGUCGCAGCGAAAGCGAUAAACACACCGCCUGGGGAGUACGAC